rnacentral:rRNA from 1 species
UACGGGGGGGGCAAGCGUUGUUCGGAAUUACUGGGCGUAAAGGGCUUGUAGGCGGCCAACUAAGUCGGACGUGAAAUCCCUCGGCUUAACUGGGGAACUGCGUCCGAUACUGGAUGGCUGGAGGUUGGGAGAGGGAUGCGGAAUUCCAGGUGUAGCGGUGAAAUGCGUAGAUAUCUGGAGGAACACCGGUGGCGAAGGCGGCAUCCUGGACCAAUUCUGACGCUGAGGAGCGAAAGCCAGGGGAGUAAACGGG